rnacentral:lncRNA from 1 species
CCAAGUAACCUGGUUUCCUGUCUUCCUCUCUUACAGACCUGGUGUAUGGGAGAUGCACAGAAUAAUGGGUUGUUGAGCUCUGCUCCUUAUUCAUUCUUGGACAGCAUCUUGGGCAGCAUGUGCAUGAACAGGCAGUCAAACCAGGAUAUGAUCUGCUACUCAUGCUGUAGGAGGUCAGCCGGUGCUGAGGGGGAUUGCUUCAUUUGCCAUCCAUCCAUGCCUCUCAGAACAUGUUGAGUUUAUCAAAAGGAGUAAAGAUGCUUUAUCUUCAUGAUAUCCAAGAACAUACUGGAGACAAAUGCUUCUCUGCUUACUUGUGUCCAGACAUCAUGAAAGGCAACGUUCUCUGAGAUCCACACCCCAUAUUCCUGCUUGGAUGUUUGGCUCCCCACAUGUAGAAGAUGCCUACCUCCAUCAGUGGGAACUGAAACAUGCCAGACAAAUGAUUCUAGAUGCUGUAGGUCUUUUUGUCAUGUCACAUGCAUUAUAAUAAACCCAGCAAGACGGUAUCCA